rnacentral:lncRNA from 1 species
ACUGUUUCAAAGACCCAACAUGCAUUUUUUGUGCAUUGGGCUCUUUCAUUAACUGAUAUAAAUAUCAGCAAGUCCGCCAUAUUUUUUAAUAGAAAAAUAAGGAGAUGGCUCCAUGUGCUCUGAGUCAUUAUUUGAAUUCUGAUCCAGGAACACUACCAAAGUGUUUCAAAGGGGGUUAUCUUGACGUAGGUUUGCCUCUGGCCUAGAUUAACCUAAGUUAGAUGAAGUCUCUAUCGCUCUGCACGUAGAAUAUUAUUCGCGCCAGACUUAAACCUAACGAAAAGAAAAUAAAAAUCACAAAGGUUCGGACAAUGAGGGAG